rnacentral:rRNA from 1 species
CCUACGGGAGGCAGCAGUGGGGAAUUUUGGACAAUGGGGGCAACCCUGAUCCAGCAAUGCCGCGUGUGUGAAGAAGGCCUUCGGGUUGUAAAGCACUUUUGUCCGGAAAGAAAUGGCUCUGGCUAAUACCCGGGGUCGAUGACGGUACCGGAAGAAUAAGCACCGGCUAACUACGUGCCAGCAGCCGCGGUAAU